rnacentral:rRNA from 1 species
UACGUAGGGUGCAAGCGUUGUCCGGAAUUAUUGGGCGUAAAGAGCUUGUAGGCGGUUUGUCGCGUCUGCUGUGAAAUUUCGGGGCUCAACCCCGAACUUGCAGUGGGGUACGGGCAGACUAGAGUGUGGUAGGGGGAGAUGGAAUUCCUGGUGUAGCGGUGGAAUGCGCAGAUAUCAGGGAGGAACACCACGGCGAAGGCAGCUCGUGGGGACGGUAACUGGACGCUGAGGGCGCGAAAA